rnacentral:snRNA from 1 species
GGAUGUGAGGGCGAUCUGGCUCCGACAUGACAUCCGUCACCCCAUCGAUCGCCAGCGUUAAUUGAGCUGAUCUGGCUGGCUAGACGAGUGUUCCCUCCCUCCUUCUCCAUUCCAUGUGUGGCCCUCCUAAAGCUGAAAAGCUAGCUGACGCUCAGUGGAAGAGGACAAUAACCUCCAAUCGAAGAGGACCCUGCCUGGGUCCAGGGUAUAGGAGUAGCUGUCCUCCCCUGGUAGAAUUUCAGGAUAAGUUCUCAAGAAAGUCACAGGGCCUAAACAAAUAUCUACAUGAUGGUAUACUUGAAAGUUU